UACGAAGGGUGCAAGCGUUACUCGGAAUUACUGGGCGUAAAGCGUGCGUAGGUGGUUUGUUAAGUCUGUUGUGAAAGCCCCGGGCUCAACCUGGGAAUGGCAAUGGAUACUGGCAGGCUAGAGUGCAGAAGGGGCAAUCGGAAUUCUUGGUGUAGCGGUGAAAUGCGUAGAUAUCAAGAGGAACACCUGAGGUGAAGACGGGUUGCUGGGCUGACACUGACGCUGAGGCGCGAAAGCUAGGGGAGCAAACGGG
rnacentral:rRNA from 1 species